rnacentral:lncRNA from 1 species
ACAGUCACACAUACAGGCGGGAGAGAUCGUCACAUACGUGCCCCGAUUUGUUUCACUGCACUCCCACCCAGCAUACCUCUAACGCCUGUCUUCAUCAUGCGUUUCAGCUACACCGCUGUUGAGGAACGAGGUAACGUUCUUCUCGCAACCUGCGUCUGGCUGGAUACGGCACGACGUGAGGUGGGACGAAACAUUUGAUGAUGACAACGAUGAUCGUAAUAACGCAGACACGACGUUUGAUCCUCCCACCGAGGGCGGUAUUACCCGAUUACGUGAGCGGUAGUCCUUCUCGGCAGCUUCCUCAAAAUCGACAAGCUCUUACCCAUCGAGGGCACGGUCACGAUACAGAAGGUAUCAAAGAGUACCCCGUAGCGGUCCAACUCCAUCCGAACCCCUCCGCACCUUGGAAUUCCUCACGAAGCCGCCGAGGGCCUCGCGGGUUACUGCACUCCGGCCUAGAUGCUGGGGUCCCUGGUUGCGACCACCGUCUCGGGGAAUCUCUCGCUUUCGCUCCCUCGACCUCUCCAUCUGUAAAGAGCCUACGGGGGACCAGAUCUUGCUGA